GUCUACAGCCACACCACCCUGAACACGCCCGAUCUUGUCUGAUCUUGGAAGCUAAGCAGGGUCGAGCCUGGUUAGUACUUGGAUGGGAGACAUGUGACAUCUUUUUGGUGAGACC
ensembl:rRNA 5S_rRNA 5S ribosomal RNA